UUUUCCCUGUGGGGUUGAGUUCGCUGGGUGCCUCGCUCCUGCUCGCGGGGGGGCCGGGGCUGGGGCGCGGGCGACAGAGCCUUUCUCACUUCUCAAAGAUGUUCGCGGGAAGCGUAACUGCAGGGCGGCGGGCGGCUGCGCUCACACAAGCAUUGGGGCGGGCGCUGUGGCCGGGUGUUGGGGGAUUGGGCCGGAGGCCCGAGGACCAUGUGCAUGUUUGUCGGGAGCCUGAAGUCCCUGCAGGUCAGGGCCCUGCCCCAGGCUAGCCGCUGGGAGUGAGCAGCCCCGAGAGAAGCGGGUGGCAGGCCCGCUCAGGGCUUUGGGAACCGGAGCAGCAUCCUUCCUCGAGGCUGCAGAUUACCAAGGUGACCAUGUGAUCACCAACAGCUGAGCAUGGCCUGCUCAGAAGGUGCCUCGUGUGCAUCCCACCAGGUGUUGAGCGCUGAAGAAUGAUCAGCAGAGCAGAGUUUUAAAGCUGCCAGCGGUGGCCCAGAGACCUCAGCCCAAGAGGCUGUGCUGCAGCAGAGGCAGAAUUCGAAGGCCCAAGGACCAGUCCUGGUCAUCCAUCCACUUGGACUCUGAAAACCGGGCCUUGACAGUUGGUGUAGAAAUGAUGCUCACCUCGUGCUGAGGGGACAUAAUUGCCACUGAGGGAACCAAGAAAUGGACUUGUCAACCUUUCCCUGGGACAGGCACUUUCGGUGUUAGUAGAUUCAUGAGUUUUUCAUCAUCGUCUCUUAACCAAAAGGAGCUUUUGCAUUUUAAAAUACUGUAAAUUUGUUAUAUUUGGUGUUUUAAACUGGAAAUGUCACAAAAUGUCCAUGCAGUUACAGUAAACACAAUGAAAGGAUGGUCUUUG
rnacentral:lncRNA from 1 species